AAAGUAUUCAACUGGGUCGGGAUUCCUAUGGGUUGUAGCCACUGAGGUAUAAUAACUGGAGACUGUAUCCAAGAUGUCCAACAGUUGUUUUCAAGCUUAUCUACUCACAUUUGCCGAUUCGUGGACCGUCUAUGUCUGAGUUGAAUCCGAUUUAUAUGAACCAACAUCAAAUGCGCAGUAGCACUCAAUGUGCACCGGGAGCAGCUGCAUCAUCAGGUCAUCCAAAAAACAUGGUAGACAUUAGAUGAAUAUAAACAUUUUAUAUCUUCGUUGUGAGUGAUGUAAAACAAAAUUGGUCUCAAUUAUUUGAGUAAUUCAAUUGAUGUUUUGUGCACAAUGGUGAUUACUAAAAAGUCUUACGAUGAAUUUUCUAGUCUGAUUUCUCUAUGUGGCCGUCUAGGGAAAUUGUAUUUCUGGGCCGGGCAUCAGUUAAACUGCGGUACCGAAGCAAACCUGUAGGAGAAGUCGAAACCAUGCUUCUGGGCCGGAACACUGGGCCCUUGGUUGUAGCCUCAAUGCCUGACGCUUCGAACACACCGACUGUGUGGUUGUUUUCCGAUUCACCAGACGUACAUUCAUUUCCAAUUGAGCAUUGCGUUGCAGAGGUAGUUGCAGUGCGUUCUGUGUCGUCGAACGUAUGCAUCAAAUUGUAUGUGUAGACUUGACAGGAAGUAGCAAAAUGUGAAUGUUGAAUUUUUGUUGCACACAUAUCCAGUAAAAAAAUGUGUGAUUACAUAAUAAAAACAGUUUGACUGGAGAAUUUCUUUACAUUUUUUUAUUCAUUUAUUUGCCAAGGAUAUUAUUUUAUUCGAUGACAUCCACAAAUUAAUUGUGAGAGACUAUAAUAUAAUUUCCCUCAAAUGCAGUUUUGGCGCGAAAUGCAAUAAUACAUAGUCAAGAUAGCAGAGUAGGCUCUUUCAACAAUGAGACCAACGUUGUAGAAGGUUGUCUUGAUCGCGCUGUUGAGCCGUGACCAGCCCCGCCGAAAGCGCAGGUCUGUGUGGUCCCAGAGACGGUUAAAGUCCCGAAAGCAGGCAGGGGAGUUCCACCGUCUCAUUCAAGAGCUACGAAUGUUUGGAGAGGAAUUCCGAAGUUACUUUCGUCUGGACCGAAGCCAGUUUGAUCACCUGCUCCAGAUGAUUGGAGCCAGGAUCGUCCGGAUGGAUACCAACAACCGGGAGUCCUUCAGCCCAGUUGUCUGCGAUUCUUGGCGAUAGGGGACUCCUACAUGACCAUUGGAUUCAGCGUCCGAGUUGGACGGUCCACGGUGGCAGGCAUUGUCCCCUCUGUGGCACAAGCCAUUUGGGACAUACAUGCCUGUCCCCAAGGAGGAAGACUGGGGGGCCAUCGCUGCCGAGUUCCUGGAGAGGUGGAAUUUCCCCAACUGUCCUGGCUCCAUUGAUGGGAAACAUGUAGUAAUACAGGAUCCACUGUGCUCAGGUUCGCAAUUCUACAACUACAAGAGUACAUAUUCACUUGUACUCUUGGCUGUAGUAGAUGCCAUCUACUGUUUCCAUUUUGUCGAUUUUGGUGCUUACGGGAAGGGAAGUGAUGACGGGACCCUCCGGGACUCUGCCUUCGGCCAGGCACUUCAGGAUGGCACCCUGGAGAUUCCACCACCUGCAUCACUCCCUGGGGCUGAAGACCUGGGACCUGUUCCCCACGUCUUCGUCGGCGACGAGGGCUUCCCUUUAAGACCCAACCUCAUGAGGCCCUACGCUGGACGCCAGCUGCCAUUGCCAGAGCCUGUAACAAACAAUUGUCCAGGGCAAGGUUAGUUGUUGAAUGCACCUUUGGUAUUCUGGCAGCCCGGUGGAGAGUGUAUUGGAGAGUGCUUGGUCUCAGCCCCUCAAAUGUCGAUGAUCACACCGACAGCGUUAUUGCAUUUUGGUUCACCAGAAGUACAUUCAUUUCCAAUGGAACGCUGCGUUUGCCUUGCAGCAUUGAGUUGCAGAGGAAGUUGCAGUGCGUUCUGUGUGGUGCAUAUGUAACAGUUAUUAAAAUACUUUGUGAAUUUCAACAGGUUCAUAUAUUAAUAUAGCAUGUUGAUUUGUUAUUAUGCAUGCCUGUGUAACAGUAUAGCUUCUGUCCCUCUCCUCGCCCCAACCUGGGCUCGAACCAUGGACCCUCUGCACACAUCAACCACAGUCACUCACGAAGCAUCGUUACCCAUCGCGCCACAAAAGCUGCGGCCCUUGCAGAGCAAGGGGAACAACUACUUUGAGGUCUCAGAGCGAGUGACGUCACCGACUGAAACACUAUUAGCACGCACCACCGCUAACUAGCUAGCCAUUUUACAUCGGCCAAACCUGCAUCCUGGGAAAUAGGGGAGCGCAUACCUUUUGCCCUGUGUGCUUGUGCUCAAAUCAUUUUAUUGCACUUGGAGAGUUAGGCACACUUUUUCUGUCAUGUUCAGGAAAGUUAGAUUCCUUUAAGUACAGAGUCAUGAAUAAUGUUGUAUAUUUAGAGUUUACUCAUAAGUGGAUGGUAUUGUAAAGAUGCUAUUGUAAUUGUACUUGUUAGGAUGAUAUUAACAUUCUGAAUUCAACAUGUGGUUACGAGCUAGCUAAGGUACUGUAUGUGUUAUUGUAGCUAUUGUGUAUUGUGCGUCUAUGUUGUAGAGAGAAGCGACGAUUGGCAGAACAUAUUUGUUCUCUACAAAUGUUUUGCCUUUUCUUUUGGAUGCAGGUAUGUGGUUUUAUCUACAGUGAGGGGGGAAAAGUAUUUGAUCCCCUGCCGAUUUUUGUACGUUUGCCCACUGACAAAGAAAUGAUCCGCCUAUAAUUUUAAUGGUAGGUUUAUUUGAACAGUGAGAGACAGAAUAACAAAAAAAUCCAGAAAAACGUGUGUCAAAUGUUAUAAAUUGAUUUGCAUUUUAAUGAGGGAAAUAAGUAUUUGACCCCCUCUCAAUCAGAAACAUUUCUGGCUCCCAAGUGUCUUUUAUACAGGUAACGAGCUGAGGUUAGGAUCAAAUCAUUUUUUCCCUCACUAUAUGUAAAAUGAGCGUUGUGUUGAUGCAUUAUAAGGAGAGGCUGUUCUCACUUUUGUAUUUUAAAAUAAUUGAUGCACUUGGAGAGAGGCAAAGUUUGGCAGAACAAUUGUGCUCUACAAAUGUUUUGUCUAUUCUUUUGGAUGCAGGAGAGUGAACUCUGAUACAUUAAAGCAACCUGAUCUCUGAA